CAAAGGAAUGAACACAACACUCCUUUAACAAAGAUGCCGGAGUGAUGGCUGAGGAGGGAGCUCAGCAGACAGAAGAGGACACAUUUUCCACGCAUAAAACCGCUUUGGCCACCAAGCCAGUCGUCAAGCUAGAAUGAACAAAGAACUGCCAUCUGCUCUGCCCCUUAUAUAAGAAAAACACCACCAGAAAGAUGUCUCCAUUGCUAGGAGAUUCAACCUCUCCAGUAUUCUCAUUCGAAAGAUGUCUUGAAUCUAGAGUACUGUUUCUCAUGGAAUGCAUUCAACCAGGCUCUGGAGAUCUGGACGCUCAGGCUUGAGGCUUCUCACAAGCUCCUAAGCACCGAUGAUGCUUUGUUCUGUGGGAAGCAGGGAUCUGAAGCAUGGAACAACAGCUUCUAAAAUCACACACCAAGAGCUGUUUCUACAGCACUACUUUAAUAAGGAUUUUCCUUGGCAGGAAACCACCAGGAAACCGACAAAUCUAGUUUAAAGCCCAAAUCAAAUCAUUUGCUGGAGAGAAUCUCUUGUACUGAAUGGAAGCUUCACCCAUCAAUCAAAAGCUGAUUGGUCAAUGAGCUGAGGCAGGAAAUAGGAGGUUGGAGUUUCGACAGAGAGAGGAACUCUGGGAUAGAGUCACGUUGCAAGCAUUCAACCAGAACUCUGAGGAAGCCGGCCACGUGAAACUGAAGCUGUCUAUUCAUCUGUGAAAGAAGGGAAGAAAGUGACUACUCUUUAUCUGGGAGAAGAAAUGAAGUGCUGCUACUUACUCUUUGUGGCUACGGAUGCUCAAGUAGAGAUGCGAUGAGUGGUUUUGAAGUCUUUUCUUGAUGAUGAGAUCUAAUUUAGCACACUGUGCUAAAUGUCAUACAGUAGGACAGCAGGCCAGAGGUAGACACCAGACAGGAGGGAAGGACGAUCAUCUAAUUCCAGAACACUGAGAACAGUGGGAGUGGAUGACUUUACAAAUAAUCAGCAGAAACCAUCACGUCAGAAUGCUCUGAACCACAAAAGCUGAAACUCCCACAGUCUGAGACCUCCCACAGCUCACAACAGAAGACCCCAUGAAGGCCAGCCUCUCCUGUGUUCUCUCCAUGGCAUCGCUUCCAGAUUCUUAAGAACUUUACGUUUUGUGUUUACUUCUGUCAUCCCUUGGUCUCUUUGUGAGGCCAUUCAUCAAUCAUUCUUAAGUCUACUCCAUGCAACAGAACAAAAUUUCCUUGUUUAAAACUAGCCCAGUCCCAGACAUUUUGAAAGAGGAGUCUGGGAUUUCUGCUUACAUUUCUUUAGCGAUACACGGUUAGAUAUUUAGACAAGGUAAGCAGUUGUUCCAGUCUACGACCCACUCCUACUUGAACCUCACAGUUCAUGCUCACUGAGGUCCACGGCUCUCCGUGUCUAUGUCUGACAGCUGUUCACCUUGAAUGGGCUGAGCUAAAAUGCCUUUAGCCCAGCUUUCGUGUCUUAAUACCAUACUCUCCUCCUGUAAGCCCCAGUCCCCCCUGUCUUUCUAAUCUACUUUUUUUUUUCAAACUGCUAAGAUAGCUUCCCUCUGAGCUCUCACUUUGCUAUCUCCAUGGACAAAGAUUCUAGGCAUUAAACCUACACCUAGUUGAUGGUGCCUUAGCUCUGAACAUGCCUGUUUAUCCAUAUGAGCAACAGUCUGCAGCAUCUCACAGGAUGUCAAGUGCUAUGUGUUUAAAACUAAAUGUGAUCUUUUUUCUCAAAAUCUCUUCUUCUUGGGUAUUUAACACACUGAGACAUCAGGUGCCCAUUUCCCCUGGUAAAUGGUAGGCACAUGAGCAAUCAUCGGUAUCCUUACAUGCUUUCUGCUGUAUUCCUGAUACCUCAUCAAUCACUGGAUGAAGCUGAUUUUCUUCUUGCAUUAAACCUCCCUGUUCCCCUUCCUAUCUACUGCUGUGACCUUCAGACUAAAGCACACAUUCCCUUACUUGAGCAACUUGAGAAGUUGCUUCUUCAUCAGGAUCAGAUCUCUAAAGAGCAUCUUCCACCUACGGUCUAUUUCCCACUCGAGAGCCGGAGUGCCACCGUAACAGCAUGACGGCCAUUGGCAAUUAAGAGACUGAGCUGUAACGUGACUUGUGUUUGGUUGCUGUUUCCCGGCCUACCUCUGUUCUUGAGUGAGGGUGAGCUUCUUUUGUUAAGGGGGUCGAAAUUUCGGCCAAAUCCUUCUACAGUGUUUUCCAGUCCAGUCUUCCUCAAGGGUACCACACGAUGUCAUGGAAAUCUCACCUGCACUUCUCAGAGUCGUCUCUAUGCACAUUAAUGGCCGGUGGAUAAUUGCUGACAGGCAGUGCUGGACUGAAGUGAAAUUCAAGACCCUACCUACUGGAAUUUGAUAGCUCUUCUAGAUGACACACCCCAUACCCUGAUGCCCUAGUAGGUCUACAUGGUGACUUCAUUAACUUACAGAAUGACCAUGAAAUGUUUUGGGUCAGGCUGUGUUACGGAAAAGUUCUUACUGUAUUUUUUAAGCAUAAAUGUCCAUAUGUCUCUUGGUAAACCCUUCUACUACUGUCUUUGCCCUUGGGGUAUCAUUUCUAAUCGCAUUGGCUGUAAAAUGCAGUUUCAACCUCAAAACCCCUACAACAGGCAGUUGGCACAGAUGCAUGAUCAAUCCACUUCCUUGAAAGUCUACAGUGAUUGUGGGGCUAGGGACAUUUGCAUGUCCUUCUGAAAGGCAUUUAGAUUAAUUUUCAAUUGAAAUGAGGGCCAGAGAGAUGGCUCAGAGAUCAAAGCAUAGUUGCUGCUUUUUCCAGACAGAGGAACUGAAUUGAGUUUCCAGCAACCAAAUUGAGCAACUCAGUAACCAUCACUCCAACACUCCAAUGCCCGUGAAUCUGAUGCUUCCUCUGGCCUCUACAAGCAACCCCUAACACACACACACACACACACACACACACACACACACACACACACACACACACACACACAGAGAGAGAGAGAGAGAGAGAGAGAGAGAGAGAGAGAGAGAGAGAGAGAAAUACACAUACCAAAACAAAAAUUUACAACAUCUUUAAACAGUUGAAACGGUGUAAUUCAUAAAUAUGUCAAUGGGAAGGAAAGACUGAGAUUCUUGCAAAGUGACUGCUUCGUCACGGCCCUGCAGUCCUCUCUCCUGCCCAUUCGGUGGCUUUAUGAACGUGCAUGGCUUCUCCCUACGCAAAGGUUAGAAGCAGACAUUCUCUGUGUCUAAGACGAUUUUGCUUUUAUACCUGAUUACCACCUUGUUGCUUUGCCCCACGUAGACUCUACUCCCCAUUAAGGCACACCUAACCAUUUAGCUUUUGUUCAACUUUUUAACUGUCAGAUAGAAACCUUUUCCCCUCUCUCAGCCUACCCACUCUUCCUAUCCACCCAUUUUUGACCUCUCCCAUUCUGUAAAUCUUUAUCAAGCAUCAGCCUUUCCUCAGGAAGCUCCAGUAGCUCAUAGGCCUGAGUUUCUAGAGUGAAGCAGCUGGCUAAUGAACGGAAGGAGAGGAUAACAGAGGUGAAAAAUAAUGUUCGGUGCUAAGUUGGAGAAAAUGAUGAGACUACCCCUAAGGAAGAACAGUUAGGUUGGAAGGAAGGAAAAAACAACUCUUAUUCUGAGAUUAUGGUGAGCCGUUCAAAGACCAAUGCCUAGCAUGUGAGCUAUCUGCUAUCUGGAUAACCAUUGGUGAAUCAUUGGCAGAAGUGUGAUUCAAGAACCAGGAGAUUACUUAACAGCUCCAAGGUGCAGGAUAGAAUCAAAACAAAACAAAACAAAACAAAACAGAAAGUUAAAGAUUAGCAUAUUUGAAGGGCAUGCUAGAAAGACUAUGUCAGAACAGAAAAUUUUCUCCUACAUUUUGUAUGUUAUGCCACUUGGAAAAGGAGAAUAUUUCUUCAAUUUAUAUCCUGUAUCCAAGGAAGAGAUCCGUGAUGUCCGUCAUGUAAUGGGAGAAGGGUGAGUGACACAACCAGCAUGGAAAUGCAUGUGCCUAAAGUAAGGUUCAAUUCUUGCUUGCUAUAUUACUGCUCUCUAAAUGUCCAACAUGGAACCUUAAUUAGCCAAUUAAAUCUUGCUUCUUUAUCUUUUCUAUUUCUAAAAAUAUUCUUGAGCUGUCUUCAGAGGUGGAAAAAACUCCCAUCUAUCAGUAACAAGACGUGAAAAUAUUAUUUAGUAGAAGCUUGUCUGCACAGUGACUGAGUCAGAGCACAGCCAGAUUCCUGAAAUCUACGGGAAAGGCCAGCACUCACUGCCUUCCCUCCAUUUUCAGUGGGUUUGUAGAUAGGAUCUUCUGUAACGUUAUACUCCAGCUUUGCACAAGAGGGCAGCAGAAAGGCAGAGAAGGCCCCGGAGAAGCAGAGCUGAGGUUCCUAAAGCUAUAAUUUUGGGCGUAGUAUUUUCAAAACCAUGCUUCAAAAAUCAAAUCACAUCCGUAAGCUUUUAAAAUAACCCCAGUCAGUCCAAUUGCCUGUGUCUCUUUGAAAGAAAAAUCAGAUCUACGUCUUAUAGGGAAACAUCUGUUUGCAGCUGCUGAUGGUUCAUGCCAAUAUUCAUAUCUGGUCCAAACGCUUCAGAAUCCGUGACUGUUCAGUGUUCAGCCUUAAAUGGGACAUCUUAUAUCCAUCUCUUUCAAGGCUCAGGAAACAUCUUGAAAGAAACUCUUGAGCUCGUUGGCAGGAUCCGUUGUCUACAGAGGCCCAUGGGUAAAGAGGAGCAUCAUGGUAGGCCUUGGUGCACAGAGAAAGCCUGCCAGAGUUGGGGAAUAACAAGAUGCAUAUGGAGGAAGGUUGGAGAUCUUUGUGAUCCACUGGGGAUGGAGGCAGAGAGGAGGGGCUGCUUUCCAGUGGUUUACUACAAAGUGGGGUGACACUGAGGGAUUGCAUUUGGAGGAGAGGUGGGUGGCAGUGGUGAAGAUCUGCAGUUAGGUUCCCUGCUUCCUUGGCUGGAAUGGCCUGCACAGCACAAGGCUUUCAUGGUCUGACCCCGUUCAGUUCUUAGGAUCUAGACUUAAGCAC
ensembl:lncRNA